UACAGGUGGUGCAUGGUUGUCGUCAGCUCGUGUCGUGAGAUGUUGGGUUAAGUCCCGCAACGAGCGCAACCCUUAUUAUUCAGUUGCCAGCAUUAAGUUGGGCACUCUGGUGAGACUGCCGGUGACAAACCGGAGGAAGGUGGGGAUGACGUCAAAUCAUCAUGCCCCUUAUGACCUGGGCUACACACGUGCUACAAUGGAUGGUACAACGAGUUGCGAACUCGCGAGAGUAAGCUAAUCUCUUAAAGCCAUUCUCAGUUCGGAUUGUAGGCUGCAACUCGCCUACAUGAAGUCGGAAUCGCUAGUAAUCGCGGAUCAGCAUGCCGCGGUGAAUACGUUCC
rnacentral:rRNA from 2 species